CUACGGGGGAAAGCAGGGGAUCUUCGGACCUUGCGCUAUCAGAUGAGCCUGCGUCGGAUUAGCUGGUUGGUGGGGUAAAGGCCUACCAAGGCGACGAUCCGUAGCUGGUCUGAGAGGAUGAUCAGCCACACUGGGACUGAGACACGGCCCAGACUCCUACGGGAGGCAGCAGUGGGGAAUAUUGCACAAUGGGCGAAAGCCUGAUGCAGCCAUGCCGCGUGUGUGAAGAAGGCCCUAGGGUUGUAAAGCACUUUCAGUGGGGAGGAAAGGUUGCUGGUUAAUACCCAGCAGCUGUGACGUUACCCACAGAAGAAGCACCGGCUAACUCCGUGCCAGCAGCCGCGGUAAUACGGAGGGUGCGAGCGUUAAUCGGAAUUACUGGGCGUAAAGCGUGCGUAGGCGGCUACCUAAGUUGGAUGUGAAAGCCCCGGGCUCAACCUGGGAACUGCAUCCAAAACUGGGUGGCUAGAGUACGGGAGAGGAGUGUGGAAUUUCCUGUGUAGCGGUGAAAUGCGUAGAU
rnacentral:rRNA from 1 species